rnacentral:rRNA from 1 species
UACGUAGGGUGCGAGCGUUGUCCGGAAUUAUUGGGCGUAAAGAGCUUGUAGGCGGUUUGUCGCGUCUGCUGUGAAAAUCCGGGGCUCAACCCCGGACUUGCAGUGGGUACGGGCAGACUAGAGUGUGGUAGGGGGAGACGUGGAAUUCCUGGUGUAGCGGUGGAAUGCGCAGAUAUCAGGAGGAACACCGAUGGCGAAGGCAGGUCUCUGGGCCACUACUGACGCUGAGAAGCGAAAGCAUGGGGGAGCGAACAGG